rnacentral:ribozyme from 1 species
UGCCGAGCAACUCCUAUCCCUACCUUCUCGCGGUACUGCCCGGAGUACGAGCAACUUUAGGGAAGAUCGGGUAAUCAACUCCGGUGGGAACUUUGAUCGUAUGCUGACAGGGAAGG